UACGAAGGGUGCAAACGUUGCUCGGAAUUAUUGGGCGUAAAGCGCACGUAGGCGGCAUUGCAAGUCGGAUGUGAAAUCCCUCGGCUUAACCAAGGAAGUGCAUCCGAAACUGCAGUGCUUGAGUACUUAAGAGGAUCGCGGAAUUCCCGGUGUAGAGGUGAAAUUCGUAGAUAUCGAGAGGAACACCUGCGGCGAAGGCGGGUUGCUGGGCUGACACUGACGCUGAUGCGCGAAAGCCAGGGGAGCGAACGGG
rnacentral:rRNA from 1 species